rnacentral:tmRNA from 1 species
GGGGGUGUAAUGGCUUCGACAUUCAUAAGCAAUUCUAAAGUUCAGUGGUCUAAUAAACCAUAAAUAUUUCUAGGCUUCAAUUAAACGGAAAAGCUAAAAAAGAAGAUGUUACAUUAAAUAUGUUAGCAACUUCAAAUAACAACUAUAAUUUUUCUUUCGCUUAAAAUAGCGGAUUGUUUUAUUAAAAAACAUUAAAUCAUAGAUUAAAUUGAUCACCAUAAAUUUAAUCUUUCGAAUGGUGGCUAGUGAAUAAAUUUUGAUAGUUUUAUAAUUCAAACUAGUUUUCAAAAAACUACUAAACUGUAAACCUUUAUUAUUGUUUUUGUGUGGACCCGGGUUCAACUCCCGGCAUCUCCACCA